rnacentral:rRNA from 1 species
UACGUAGGUGGCAAGCGUUGUCCGGAUUUACUGGGUGUAAAGGGCGUGCAGCCGGGCUGACAAGUCAGAUGUGAAAUCCUAUGGCUUAACCAUAGAACUGCAUUUGAAACUGUUAUUCUAGAGUAUGGGAGAGGUAGGUGGAAUUCUUGGUGUAGGGGUAAAAUCCGUAGAGAUCAAGAGGAAUACUCAUUGCGAAGGCGACCUGCUAGAACAUAACUGACGCUGAUGCGCGAAAGCGUGGGGAGCAAACAGG